rnacentral:rRNA from 1 species
UCGAUGCCUAAACAUCAAACGACCCGCGAACGCGUUUAAAAACAAACUGUUCGCGUUAGGGGCGGGGGGAAGCAUGCUCUUUGGCUGCCUCCUCCCCUUCCAACGCGUUUAAACAAAACCCCGGCGCAGGUCGCGCCAAGGAACUUGAAAUGAAUUCGCCUGUCCCCUGCCCCGGCCUCGGCGUGCGGGGGAUGGAGCAUUCUAGUCGUAUUACUAACAACGACUCUCGGCAACGGAUAUCUCGGCUCUCGCAUCGAUGAAGAACGUAGCGAAAUGCGAUACUUGGUGUGAAUUGCAGGAUCCCGCGAACCACCGAGUCUUUGAACGCAAGUUGCGCCCGGAGCCUUCUGGCCGAGGGCACGUCUGCCUGGGCGUCACGCAUCGCUGCCCCCACCACACAACUCUCCCCAUGCGGGGUCGUUGUGAAGGCAGGGACACACACUGGCCUCCCGUACGCACCGUCGUGCGGAUGGCUUAAAUUCGAGUCCUCGAUGCUCGUCGUCGCGACACUACGGUGGUUGAUUCAACCUCGGUGACGCGUCUCGACCUCGACGUCGACUUCACGGACUCCUUUCCGACCCUCCGAACGCCGCCCCUUAAAAGGACUACACUCUCGACGCGGGCCCCGGGUCAGGCUGGAAGCUACCCGGCUAAGUUUACGCCCUAU